GACGAACGCUGGCGGCGUGCUUAACACAUGCAAGUCGAACGGAAAGGCCCUGCUUUUGUGGGGUGCUCGAGUGGCGAACGGGUGAGUAACACGUGAGUAACCUGCCCUUGACUUUGGGAUAUCUUCAGGAAACUGGGGCUCAUACCGGAUAGGAGCUCCUGCUGCAUUGUGGUGGUUGGAUAGUUUCGGCGGUUGGGGAUGGUCUCGCGGCUUAUCAGCUUGUUGGUGGGGUAGUGGCUUACCAAGGCUUUGAUGGGUAGCCGGCCUGAGAGGGUGACCGGCCACAUUGGGACGGAGAUACGGCCCAGAGUCCUACGGGAGGCAGCAGUGGGGAAUAUUGCACAAUGGGCGGAAGCCUGAUGCAGCAACGCCGCGUGCGGGAUGACGGCCUUCGGGUUGAAAACAGCAUUCGCCUGAGACGAAGCGUGAGUGACGGUAAUGGGUAAAGAAGCACCGGCUAACUACGUG
rnacentral:rRNA from 1 species